CAUUGCGGGACCCGGUUAGGCUUCUUAUAGAUUUUUAAAAGCUCAUCCGCCAACACAAGGCGCUGAAUGUUGAAAGAUGAACAUUCGAAGAAAAUGUGAUGUAGUGAUUGAAUUUUUUGUGAUUGACAAUAUUCGCAAUAGGGAGAAUUAGCCAUUUUAAUACGAUGAAGAUGACAAUUUAAUCUAUAAUGACCAAAACGCAUACGACAAAUAAUUGAAUAAAAUUUUCUAUUGAUAAAAUUAUUUUUCUUGCAAAACCAAGGAGUGGAGUUUAUUUGGACAUCCAUACUAGCAAACCAGUUUCCUUUAUUUUCAUGGAUAAAUUAUAUGAAAUAUGGACACCCAAAAAUUUCACUUCAGAUGUAGUGGGUAACAAACAAUUAUUAUAUUGCACAGCAGGUGUACUGUGACAAUGUUUACCAAAUACAAUAACUUUAGACUUGGAUGGAUUCACACUGAGAUCAAGGAAUCCCUAUUUGUAAUAACUCAAGGCAUAGAAUAUCUAUGUUUACACUAUUAAAAGCACCUGCGAUGUCAAAGAAUACACCGACCAAGUUUUCAUUUGCGGAUAUAGAGUUUUGUAUAUCCAGCUGUAACUGGCAAACGCUUUCUCUAGCAGAACGAUUUCUACGAAAACCAAAUUGAUUGGAAGGAAUAUGAUAACUAGUACCAAGAGGACAAUCAUGUACAGACCAGUCACAGUUGAGAGCCAGUGAUGAAGAUACCAAUGAUAAAUCCAAAGCAUUGGGUCGCCAUGUUGGAGAACCGAUAGUCGUUGCUUGCCCAUCAUUAAGGAGAACCAAAUUAUUAUCCUCAAUAACCUCUAGAAUAUUUCGACCACGCGGGCUGUCGGAACCACAGCCCCAACAAGUGUGAUGAGCGUUAAAAUCGCCCGCAAAUAUGAAAGGACUAGGAAUAGACUUAACCAAUGUAUCAAAAUUGUUUUUGCUGAAGACUGGGUUAGAGUUUAAAGGACUAUAGAAACUAACUAUACAUAUAUCUUUAUUAUUAACUGUUAUUUUCACACAUACAUUUUGUAAGGAAUUAUCGAAAUAGGUGUUAAUUCUAGAAUAAAUAAUGCUUUUAUGUAUUAUAAUUGCAACACCAUUGUGUUUGUUACCACAAUCAUUCCUUUCAACAUUGUAAUUUUUAAUUUUAAAAUUUUGUUCAGGUUUUAACCAAGUUUCACUGAUUAUAGCAAUAUGAAUAUUGUGUGUAUAAAGAAAAUUAAUAAAUAUAUGUUUGUUACUAUUCAGA